CGGACCAAGCUUGAUAAUUAUAAUAAUAAAAAAAAAACCCGGAGACCGGACCGAUAGUAGACCGAUGGGAAGAAGAAACAUGAAAGACCAGGAGAUUUUCCCCCUGGCGCCGAAUGCAACAAACGAGAGGAGAAUACUGAAACAGUGAAAAGCAGGGGGAGGGUGCAGUUCGAUUUAAAAAAACAGAGAAGAAGAAGAAGAAGAAGAAGAAGAAGAAGAAGAGGUUGAAUAUGGAUUUAGGUUAUAUUGUAAGAAAAACCCACAAGCAACCACCUUGUUUCGCAUUGGCACUUUUAUGCUUUGGUGAGAGCAUUUGAUCCACAACUGAUUCAAAAACUCUGAUAUCUUCUAGGUAUUUCAUUUUAUGGUGUUUGCUAUCACGAUUGUGGAAAAUGGCUCAAGCGUUAAGUACGACAUUGAGAGGUUCAAUGGGAAGGACAAAUUCAUACUCUAGCGACGAAGGAUGAAGGAUAUUCUAAUACAACAGGUGCAUAGUACAAGAUCUUGACCAGAUCUAGGAAAUUUCUCGGUUUCGGGAGAUCUCGAGACAAGAUGACCCACUAUACAUAAAAAAUGCAAAAUCUCAUAUGAGAUUUUCGAACCAAAAUGUCAGUCAAAUUUUGACUCAGUCUUAGUGAACUUGCAAAUUUCACCAUGGUUUGAAAAAAAAGUCCCCCAAUUUUGGUUUUUGGUGCAAAUUUUUUGCUAAAUAACACCCAAGGGAGCUUGGAGCAAGUGGAUUCAUAGCGCAACAUUAACAUUUGGAGUUGUUUUUCUAUCCAAGAACACUUGAAGGUAACAAAAUUUUCUCAAUAACUUUCUUUUUUCCAAAAAAGCAUGAUGAAUACUUGGUUGUUGAUAGUAUAACAUUAGUUCUGCCAUAUUAUGAUAUGACCAGUGUUUCUGAUUCAAUCGGAGGAAAACUUGAUUCAACAUAAGCAACAAUAUAGUGGUUAUGAUGAUCCGGACUAGCACUUGUUUCAAUACUAGGAGUCUAGGACACUAGGAUGGACAUAAGAGGUACAGGUGGGCAGUAGAGUGAUCGACCCUUCAGACAUUGUACUUUUUUGUGAUAAGACCAACUAUACCAUUGAUACGUGUUGGGCUAAACGUGUUCGACCAGAGUGGGCGCCACCGCUACCUAAUAUCGUUGCAUCUGAGGUACUACAGUAAAGGUGUCUUUUGGUGACAUCAAUUGCUCUUCAUUUGGAGCUCCUUCAUCAAGGCCUGUGUCUCGAGAUGACUACAACUAUUUGCUCAAGCUUCUCCAAAAUUUGCAGCCAUCUAUGUUUCUCCCUCCACAACUACUCUGGCCCAUAGGUACAUGAGUACAUCCGCUUUCCUUCCAUCCACAUCUCCCACUCGUGGAUCAUUAAUUCUGGUGCCUCUUCCCAUAUGACUGGUAUGCCCCUUGGAGAGUUGGAAUUCAUAACCUCUUGAUUGUAGUUUGAUUACUGGGCACAUUCUUUCUAAUCCAACAGACAAAAGAGGGGCGAAGUGUCUGUUUGAAGUGACGAAGGUUAGACCUGAGAAAGUAGAAAGUGUUCCCACGAAGCAGUUCUUUCUAUAAAGAUAGGGAGGCCAAUGGAACGGUUACGAAGUAAGGUCAGCUGACUAAAGAUUUCCCCUUGGGGUUAAUAACCAUCUUUGAAAUCAUUCACCAUCUCUCCUUGUUCCUUGUUAUUGAUAGACACUUAAUUUAGUUCUUCUUUCUUAAAUUUCCAAUGUGCAACUGAAAACGACUGCAUUCUCUUAGUCCUUUGUCCAUCCUUGGAGCAAAAAGAAUUUUUUUUUUUUUUUUUUU